AAUUUUGGAGCAGAAUGGUGCGGACAACGCGUUGAGCCCGGCCAGCAGUAAACAUAGAUGUGUGCGAUUAUGUCUUAAAGGGAGGGGCUUGCUCGAGUAUUCAGUUUUAUCACUGAAUACAGUGGAGGAGCGACGGCAGACUCUGGCUCCCUCUCCUCUCUCACUCGACUCAACACAACUACUUUCUCCCGUUAAGAUCCACAGGGCGUAACCAUGGAGGAGAUGGACUUUGUGGACUUUGAGCGGCGCAGGGAGCUGAGGAGGCAGAAACGGGAGGAGAUGCGCCUGGAGGCUGAACGGAUGGCGAGGAAUGAUGAUGAUGAGGAGGAGGCGGCCCGCGAGAGGAGGCGCAGGGCACGCCAGGAGAGGCUGAGGAGCAGAGAGAGCGACGAGCCCAGUGGCCAGGCCGACAGUCUGACCAUGACCAACAGCCACAGUGUGACAGAGACAGUUUCUGUGACCAGCUCUUACGGAGGAGGUGGUGGGGAUGACGAGGAGCAGGCCCUGCUGGAGCGCAUGGCCAAGCGAGAGGAGAGGCGACAGAAACGCAUGAAAGAGGCGCUGGAAAGACAGAGAGAGCUGGACCUCUCCGAGACAGAGGGCUCCAACAGAGGUACCGUGGAGAAAAACAACACCGAGGAGGAGAGGCCAUCCUCCUGGCGUCGGGGUCGUUACCGCGACAACGAGGAAGACGAAGACAAGCCAGCAAUGUAUGGCAGGAGGAGAGAGGAGAAGGAGCGAGAGGAGGAGCCAAGGGAGGAAGAGGAGGCCGCAGCCGAGGAGGUGGAGGAGGCAGAGCAGGGAGCAGAGGGAGAGGAGGAGGAGGAGGAGAAAGUGGAAGUUGUGGAGGAGAAACCGAGGUCUUACCUGAGAGAACAGGUGAAUGAGAGGGGCGGGGCCAAGGAGGAGAGGGAGGGGCAGAGGAAGCACAAUGGAGGUCUGCAUGAGGAGACUCCUCCCAGAGAGCACAGGAAACCCGAGAGGACCCUCAGCCGCGGCAGCGUCCGCUCCCCCGAGGUGUCGGCGGGCGACGAGCAGGACGACGCCGCCCGCCUGGAGGCAGAGCGCAAGCUGGAGGAGCUGAAGCGUCGCCGUGACGACGCCGAGAGCGAGGAGUUCGAGAGGAUGAGGCAGAAGCAGCAGGAGGCCGAAGCCGAGCUGGAGGAGCUGAAGAGGAAGAGGGAGGAGAGGAGGAAGGUGCUGGAGGAGGAGGAGAGGCAGAAGAAGCAGGAGGAGGCCGAGAGGAAAGCCAGAGAGGAGGAGGAGAAGAGGAAGAUGAAGGAAGAGAUAGAAAGAAGGAGGGCAGAGGCCGCUGAGAAGAGACAGAAGGUGGAGGACACCAUGGACGGGGAGGACAAACCCUUCAAGUGUGUCAGCCCUCGCGGCUCCUCGCUGAAGAUCGGAGAGAGGGCAGAGUUCCUGAACAAGUCGGCACAGAAAAGCACAGUGAAGGCAUCUCACUCUCCCGUGGUGUCCAAGAUCGACAACAGGCUGGAGCAGUACACCUCGGCCGCUCAGAGGGAGAACAGGGAGUCUCGAUCCCCGCGGUCCGGAGCGGUGGAUCUGCCCAUGGUCACCGACAGCAUACGGAAUAUCAAGAGCAUGUGGGAGAAAGGCAACGUGUUCAGCUCACCUGGAAGCGGCGGGGGCACGUACAAGGAAGCAGCUGUGAUGAAGAUAGGCGUGGCGGGCCGCAUCAACGACUGGCUGAAUAAAACCCCUGAGAGCGUCAAAACGACGGGAGGAAGGCCAGCGGACCUGAAACCUGUGGAUGUCACUAACAAGAGGAAUCUAUGGGAAAACAAAGGCGCCUCUCCAACCAAGAACUCUAAUAGCUAGUUGACUUCAUCGUUAAAUCUGGAAGAAGCCUGGAGAGGUGGCAGGCAGAGGGGAGAGUAAAUCAGUCGCCAACGGUAUGGGUCACUAAUGUCUUGAAGGGGCCACCAAAGCCGGGGACCACGACAAUCCAAGACUCUUCCUUUGACUUCGUCUUAUGUACCAAAUAAUGACCAGACUCCCAAGAGGGACCCCAAGCAAACGGAGGGACAGGCGAGACGCUGUUGAAGCACUGUACCGAAACAGCAUCAUGGUUUUGUACGGUUGCCGCGUAUAGUGCCUUUGCACAUUGAUUUUGUUUUUGUUUUUUGUUUUUUUUUUUUUUUGUUUUUUUUGCUUUCUAAAAGAAACAAAAUGCUGUGAAAUUUGGACGUAUAUGAUUAAUAUGGACUGUGUUUUGUUUUAUAGGAUCCUUCCUGGAAAAAAAAAAAAAAAAGUAAGAAAGAAAUUAAAUUUA